GAUGCUCAUCAUGCUGGUUUACUAUGUCUCGCUCCUGUUGUAAUAUUCCCCUGUUUUCUUUUUGUAUUUAUAAUACAAAUAUAUAAAUCGGCAUACUUAAGUUUGCUCUCACGAUUCAAUAAAAUUAAUUGACUCUAGGCAACUGAAUACUGAAGUUGUUUCAUAGCAGCUGCAGAGAACUGUAUUUACAUUGUGAUAUCGUCAUGCU
rnacentral:lncRNA from 1 species